rnacentral:lncRNA from 10 species
GCAUUGGCUAUCUGUGUGGCAAGCAGCAGGACCUAAACCAAGCCCCUGGUGUUUUGGUAACAGAAGGCUGGAACUGAACAAGCUCCUAACCCCUAACAUACAUAACGCUGGGACUUAUGAGGACUACACACACAACAAAAGGUUCUACAGAUCAAAAGUCUAACACUGGUGUUAUUGGGCUGAAAUCCAGGCGAUGGCAGAGCUGCGCUCCUUUCUGGAGGCUCCGGGGAGAAUUCUCUUCCUUAACCUUUCAAGCUUCUCGAGGCCCUCUGCACUCCCUGGAGACAGGAGGAGAGAAGAAUCAUGGACUCCCUGGGCACAGCACCGCAGGUGGCUUUGCCAGUUCUCCCAGCCCCGCGCUGCUCCUGCGCCUGCGCUGAGCCUCCACGUGUCCUCAGGAGACUUAGCCUAGCCUGGGUAUCACCAGCAGUGGGCCAGGCCGCUUUGCCUUCAACUCCCAACAGUAACCUUGCAGAGGUCAGCCUGGGGCCACCAGGAGGAGUUAGUAAGAGCUUAUCCUGUGGGGGCACUCACUGGGGCUGGUGGCCGGGAAAUCCCAGGUGUUUUGUUGGUUUGAGUUUUGUUGUGUUUUUAUUUUUCUUCCGCUGAGAUCAGGACUGAAGCAGGGACGCAGUGCUCAGCACGCCCAGCCCACCGCGGGCCACUGCGCGGAGAACCUCUGCCAGGGUCGCCUGCUCACGUCCCCUAAUCCGCUCCUGGCGCGCGUUCCUGUCCUCCUCCUGCUGUGACUAGUGUGCAUGGAAGGGCACAGUGGUGGCAGAAAGACUUGUGGCGAGAUAUCAAGAUCCACAGGAAGUCAUAAGAGAAAAAGCAUUUUGUUUGAACUCCACCCACUGACCUUUUGUGGGUGAGCUUUCGGUGAAACAGCAACAUCCUCAGAAAUCUUAGAGACACGGCUUUGUAACCCGGGGGAGAGACACCGCUUCCAAAUAUAAUUGACGUGGCUUUCCUGCCUUAAUUCGGGGUAUCCUUUUUCCACCACAUAAUCUUCCCUUUGUCCGCGCUGAUUCCUGUUUAGUUUGGCAGGGCCAGCUGCUGGCAGGCUCCCCCAGUGCUGAAUGCUCCGCGCUCCACUGUGCUGGGCCUGCUGAAAAAGCAGACAGCGCUCCCUCUCCCCCAGAAUCAGGAGCCAAAUGCCACACCGAUUGUGCAACUUGUCUCUGGUUACCAGGAAAACGUAAAGAAAUGCCAAUGAAGCAGAAAGGUCGACAAAAUUCUUUCCAACGCUUGAACAAAAAAGGUAUUUUUAGGGCCCUAGAUUUAUGGAAGUCAAUUCUUCCACUCCUCGCCAGGCUUUCAAACCUCCUAUUCUUUGCACUACAUUAUUUGAAUAAACCGUAAAUACCCUUAGUUGCUCUAAUAGCAACUGCUGGUCCAUAUUGUGCAAGGCGGCCAUGGUCUGAAGACCUUGUUGAAUUUGAAAGACAGAAGUUCCGUUUCUGGCACAUAAACUUGAAUCAGGGCUAUAGUUAAGAGUGCCAGUGAGGUCCACAUUUUGACAGCUAGAUAAGCAGGUCAUUUAUUCAAAAGGACUUUGAAUCCAUGCCCAGAGUCAAAUGCAGUCCUUUGUAAAGCCCAGCAGGCUUGAAAUAAAAACUUCUUAACUGAGUUGAUCAGUGUCCUGCAUUUUAGGGGUCAGGAAAGUAUUUAUGAUAAGUUGGAAAUGGACAGGGCAGGAAAUUCUGGGCCUGGAAGGAUGGCUUCCUCACCAGGGACCGCACCACCAUAUUUUCUAAUUUGUGUCUUGAGGGAAAGUUUAUAUUUUUUGCUGAAAAUAUUAUCUCCUUGUGACAAAACCACAAGUCUGGGAAGAGAACACAAAAGGAAUAAAGAACAAAUGAGAUCUGUGAUGCCUCCUGGAUAAAACUUUAAAAACCCAUAGGCAUUGAUCAAUCCAAUUUACUGAAUAAAUAUGUACCAGGUGUUGUGUUAGGUUCUAAGGGGCUAAAAUAACUAAGAUACUGAACUAAAGUAGAACUAUUGGGCUCCUAAUGUGAUAGUUUUUCCACUAUAGACAGCCCUCUUCUUCCAAGGGUCCCUGCCAGGGCUUCCCCUACCCUAAACAGUGCCUUGGUAAAAAUUAGGAAAGUCACCCCUUCCUUAAGACACUUGACUUUCCAACAGUGCCUUGGUAAGAAUUAGGCGAGUCCUUAAGACACUUGACUUUCCUCUGGCAGAAAAUUGCAAAGAAAGUGUGCACAAACCUACAAUGUGAAUGAUGCCUUCCUGUGUGUGUGUGCCUUUGUUUAGGGCACAACCUGACCGGUCUGAUCAUCAGACACGGUGAUCCACACUCAAGAUGGGAAAGAAAGCCAGGGGCACAGCCUCCUGGAAGCCCCUACUCCCUGCCUCAUCCACACCUUGUUGCAAAAACCGCACCAUCCUUUAAGACUUCUCCAUGAAGCAUCACUUCAGGGAGGCUGUUUUCUUUUUCUCUUGUCUAUUCCCCUUCUGGGAAUAUACCCAUUCACCCUGGCCAUCAGACAGCCCUGUAUAUGUCAACCCAAGGUCUCACUCAAGCUCUCUCUCAAAGGGCUCCUGGGCCCCAUGCAAAUUUAGAAUGGAGUAAAUUUGCAUUAAACAGUUUAAUGUGUUGCAGAAAAUAUCAGAGAAUGGCAAACUCCUGUGGCCUGGACUUCUCAGAGUACACAAAAGACCGAAGACUGUUCUAACUUCACAGAUGUUCUGUCAAAGGCUCAUGUGGCCCCCCAGAUAAUCUGUUAUGCAAGUAAAAACAGUUAAUAAGUUGCCUAAAGGCUCGUCUUCCAGUCAUUUUUUCCUCUUUAGAUCUGAAAGAACUCUUUUGAGCAACUUCAAAGUUCAAAUUGUGGUAUUAAGUUUGAGUUGAAAUGGGUCCUUUCUCUUUUUCUCAGAAUUAUACUGAAAUGAAUGUGCUCUGCUGCAUCCUGGCAUGCACUGGAGAUGGGGGUUAGGUCAAAAAUGAAUAGGAUGGUUCCUGCCUUCAAGCAGCCAAUAGGAAUAAAAAUACUUUGCAUGUGUAGUUUCCAAAUUGUUUUCACAUAUAUCACAACACCCACAGCAGCUUUGAGAGGGAGAUGUUAUUACAUAUAUUUUAUAGGUAAAGUGGAUGAGGCUCAGAAAGGGUGAGUCUAAGCUUACACAGUAGUGAAUUGAAGUGACACCCGAAACUCUGCUCUAAAUUUUAUCUUUCCCCAGGCUGAAGCUAUAGUCCACAGAGCAAAGUAGUGUGAUUAGUGUCACCUUAGUAGUGCAAACAAAGUUGUGGGCACAGAAUUAGAGGGAGUAGUUUUCCCUGAGGGUGCAGUAAGGUGGUGUGAGGAAUGGGGAAAUGGAAGAGAGAAGAGAUAGGGUUGCAACUGGUGAGUCCCAGAGGAAGGGCGAAUGGCAGCAGGAAUGGCCUGGCUUAGCCAAGCACCCAGAAAGGAGAAAGUCAGGCCUUGGUGAAUGUUGAGUGGAUAACCAAGCACCAUUGGUCUGGAAGCUUGAGGGCUGGUCUGGAGGCUUGCAGGCUGUCAAACUCUUGAAGGAGUGAGAGAAUGAAGGUCCUGACAGGACAGGCUUUGAGCAUAAAGUGAUUUCAGUGGACGUGGGAGCCACUCGGAUAGUGACAAGCUCAGAUUUGUGUUUGGUGGAGAAAUGUUAAUUUAGCAGCAGGGUGAGGAAGGGAUUAUCAGAAGGGGUGGGAAAGGACACAAAAGAACUUCCAGGUCCUUUUAGGGCUAAAAGUGCAGAUGUGAGAUCUCAACCCAGGCAGCAACAGUGGGAGCAGAAGGCAGGGGAGAAGCAUG